GUCUACGGCCAUGCCACCCUGAAAAAGCUCGAUCCCGUCUGAUCUCGGAAGCUAAGCAGGGUCGGGCCUGGUUAGUACUUGGACGGGUGACCACCUAGGAAGACCAGGUGCUGUAGGCG
rnacentral:rRNA from 1 species